UUGUUGGCUGUAGAAGGGUACGCUUUGUCGUGAUAAACGCAACAAUUUUGCGACACUAUUCGAUUCUUGAUAGGCCGCGGAAGUGUGUACGAUAGUGCAGACAGUGCAGUUUAAUUCUGAAAAUGUUUAUUUCUAUAUUUAAUAAAGCACUGAGCCGCGAGCGACGGCAGUCGGUCGAGAGCGCGCAGCCAUAGCGUGCGUUGCGCAUCGAACACUUGAAUAAAGAACACAAAAUAGCGCCAAUUUAAAGUUUAAAAAAGUUUUUAUUGUGCAUUAUCUGUGCAGUGAACACUCGUGACAUUUUGCCAAAACCAAAAGGACUUUUAUUUUUUUAUUUUGUAUUGAUGUCUUACUACGACUUGGUUUAGCUCCGUCGACAUAACAGGUAAGAAAUAUAAUAUACACACCUUCUUGCAUAAUAAUUUUAAGGAGUAAGGAGUUAUUAGCAGGACGAUUGACUCGGGUUGCCUAAGACCGUUAAGCAGUGGACGGCGAUGAUGAUAUUGAGGUGUCAAGGGUCUGAAGUUAAUAAGUGUGACCGCUGUUU